rnacentral:rRNA from 1 species
GACGAACGCUGGCGGCGUGCUUAACACAUGCAAGUCGAACGAAGUGGCGAACGGGUGAGUAACGAGUAAUCCACCUGCCCUUCAGAGGGGGACAACAGGUGGAAACGACUGCUAAUACCGCAUACUGAAGGAGGGGAGUGCGAUGGAUGUGCGAGUUGGAGGGGUAACGGCCCAACAAGGCGAUGAUCAGUAGCCGGUCAGAGAGGAGGAACUGCCAAAUUGGGACUGGGACAAGGCCCCGACUUCUUCGGGAGGCAGCAGGUGGGAAUCUUCCGACAUUGACGAAAGUCGUACGGAGCAAAGCCGCGUGAGUGAUGACGGCCUUCGGGUUGUAAAGCUCUGUUAAUCGGGACGCGGUACCGGAAUAGAAAGCCACGGCUAACUACGUGCCAGCAGCCGCGGUAAUUC